rnacentral:rRNA from 1 species
GUUAAUCGGAAUUACUGGGCGUAAAGCGCACGCAGGCGGUCUGUCAAGUCGGAUGUGAAAUCCCCGGGCUCAACCUGGGAACUGCAUUCGAAACUGGCAGGCUAGAGUCUUGUAGAGGGGGGUAGAAUUCCAGGUGUAGCGGUGAAAUGCGUAGAGAUCUGGAGGAAUACCGGUGGCGAAGGCGGCCCCCUGGACAAAGACUGACGCUCAGGUGCGAAAGCGUGGGGAGCAAACAGGAUUAGAUACCCUGGUAGUCCACGCCGUAAACGAUGUCGAUUUGGAGGUUGUGCCCUUGAGGCGUGGCUUCCGGAGCUAACGCGUUAAAUCGACCGCCUGGGGAGUACGGCCGCAAGGUUAAAACUCAAAUGAAUUGACGGGGGCCCGCACAAGCGGUGGAGCAUGUGGUUUAAUUCGAUGCAACGCGAAGAACCUUACCUGGUCUUGACAUCCACAGAACUUUCCAGAGAUGGAUUGGUGCCUUCGGGAACUGUGAGACAGGUGCUGCAUGGCUGUCGUCAGCUCGUGUUGUGAAAUGUUGGGUUAAGUCCCGCAACGAGCGCAACCCUUAUCCUUUGUUGCCAGCGGUUAGGCCGGGAACUCAAAGGAGACUGCCAGUGAUAAACUGGAGGAAGGUGGGGAUGACGUCAAGUCAUCAUGGCCCUUACGACCAGGGCUACACACGUGCUACAAUGGCAUAUACAAAGAGAAGCGACCUCGCGAGAGCAAGCGGACCUCAUAAAGUAUGUCGUAGUCCGGAUUGGAGUCUGCAACUCGACUCCAUGAAGUCGGAAUCGCUAGUAAUCGUAGAUCAGAAUGCUACGGUGAAUACGUUCCCGGGCCUUGUACACACCGCCCGUCACACCAUGGGAGUGGGUUGCAAAAGAAGUAGGUAGCUUAACCUUCGGGAGGGCGCU